rnacentral:rRNA from 1 species
UACGUAGGGGGCAAGCGUUGUCCGGAAUCAUUGGGCGUAAAGCGCGUGUAGGCGGCUCAGUAAGUCCGCUCUGAAAGCCCGGGGCUCAACCCUGGGAGGCGGGUGGAUACUGCUGAGCUUGAGUCCGGAAGAGGCGAGUGGAAUUCCUGGCGUAGCGGUGAAAUGCGCAGAUAUCAGGAAGAACACCCGUGGCGAAGGCGGCUCUCUGGUACGGAACUGACGCUGAGACGCGAAAGCGUGGGGAGCGAACAGG